ACCAUCCUGGCCUGACCACUGAAAACCACCCAGAAACUAGUGAGCUGGAUCCUGGGGGCCGCUUCCUACCAGACAGCUUCAGAAAGUAUCGCACUAAACAGACAUCGGGACUCCUUUCUCCUCCCUGGUACUCUGCAGCCCUGGUCCGUGUGUUCCCUUGGGCUUGUCCCUGCCCUUGACCCAGGCUCCUGCCCAUCCCCACCUACUUCCCACCAGCGCAUACUUGUAAGUGAGCUGCUAAGAAACCCUUAACUUCCACGGGAUUCUGAAGGAGGCAAUGGGGUGACAUCCUCCCACCUGCUGUGAUUUUCUGGGUGCUGGCCCAGUUUUUAACAGACCCGAGAGUGUAUGGUCAGCCAGUCACGGCCCUGACCACCUUGUGGUCUCUGACACCCUUGGCCUGCUCCGUGUCAUUACUCAUUUCCACCCAAGCCCUGGAGACGCUGCUCGCCCUCCAUCCACAGCUGCAAUCCCCAGUGGCACAGCACCGGAAGUCAGCAGGACAGCGCCCUGCAGGCACACAUGACCAUGGCUGUCCUGAGUAAGAGACCUGGUGGUCACUUACAGGAAACCCUCCGGAGACGCUGCCUAUCAACCUUGUGCAGAUAGGAGGAGGCUCCUGAGCCUUUGGGAGAUGGUCAGGAUGUCCAUCUCGUCCCAGAAGUUAGGAAGAGUGCUCCGUGACUGUAGGAAGAAACCAGGAAAACUGCAGACAGAGGAGCAGAGAAGCAUGUCAGGCAGGCAAUUACCAGUGAUAGAUGGUGUUUGUCUGACCUCUGAUGCCUGUAGUACUUAUGGGGUCUCAAAGUAAGGUGAUUGGCUGAGAUUCUCCUCAUUCCAAGUAAAUAUUCACAUUUACAGCGACGUUUGUAUUUACAGAUUUCCUUUUUCCUUCCCUGGUUCCCAAAGAUGGAAGAUCUCUGGGCUGUGCACCUGUGCCCACUUCUGUGUGGAGGGCUGCAAAUUACCCCCCAUCUCUGGAGGACUGCAAGCCUCCCUUCCUCCCCCUCUCUCCCUCCCCCAUCCCUCUCUCUGUGUGUGCGUGCUUAUGUGUGUUCAGUUUGCAGCUGCUCUGAUGACAGUGGGGGUGGGGAUAGAGAAAUAGAGGAAGGUUCGAGGGCCCAGCACAGCCUCACGUUCAUGGGACAGCAGCCUCUCUGAGCAGGAAGGAACAAUCUCGACAGGCACGCAAGUGACACUUCCUUUGGGGGGCAAAGCCUGUCUUUGAAGCCCCACAAAUUCGUGCUUCACGGCCUCCAUCACCUUUGGAGAAGCUGUUUUCUUGGGUGUGUAUGCUGUGUAUGUGUACAUACAUGCCUAUGUAUAUGUGCUGGGGUAGAGGUGCCUGUGUUUAUGAGCAUGUGGAGGCCAGAGGUAAAUGUCACUUAUCCUCCUUUAUUGCUCUCCGCCUUAGUUUUGGGGACAUACUGUCUCUUUGGACCUAGAUAUCAGCCAUUCAGUUAGACUACCUGGCCCCAGUGAUCUCCCUGGCACUGGGAUUACUGUCACACACCACGGGGGUGCUAGGUACCCAAACACAGGACUUCUUGCUUAUGUGGCAGACACUUUCCCAACUGAGCAGUCUCCCCAGCCCUCUCCACCUCCCCGUGCCCCUUGUGCCACUGCUGCCAAGCCAGACACAAGCCCUUCCCGGAGGGAAGGCGUAUCCUACAGUCGGAGCCUUGGGGCAGAACUUCACAGCAAUGACAGAGGACCCCAGCAGCUCAUCCGGCUCUUUCCGGAGUAGGGACUUGACUGACGAGUGCAUGGCUCAGUUGCCACGGUCUAAGCAUAGCUCACCAGAUGUGGCUUUUCAUGGAACUGUAGCCAGAAUGCAAGGCCACCAAGCAAUGGUUCCACUGCAUCUGCCUUCGCAAGCUUAAUGUCCUAAUGUCACCAGUUUGAUGAUCAGGUGGCCUCUUCGCUCUCAUUGCACUUCCUACAUGUCAUUGACCUUGGCCAGUCUAGCAGACGCCACAUCUCCCUGGCUCACGGAUGCUGCAUAGCAAGCACCCCAGCUGUCAAGCUAAAAGUAAUGAGGACACCCACUUAGCUCACAGAUUCGCCAUUUUGGAAGAGCUGGGUAGACGGCAACUGUCUGAGCCCUAAACACGGGAGGUGCGAGGAAGAGGGCCGCAUGAGGCAGACAGAGGGCCGUGUGGGGCAGACGACAAGGCCCGAGAGGGGUGGGAUAAUUUGAGACUCAGUGGCCCUCACUCUGCAGGUGCUGAGAGUUUCAGAUUCCCUCGCAGAUGGAAAACCACUGUCUCAGCUCCCACGCCGGUGGCUCUGAGCUCAGGUAAUCAGUACCUCCAGGUUCAUAAACAGAUGCUCCUGUUUAAUGAGGGAAUUUGCAUGAGCAGGAACAUCCUUGGAUGGCGUGUGACCUGAGAAGUGCUGCUCGACGCUUUUGUUCCUUCCUCUGUCACUGCGAUUAAACACCUGCUGGCAGCAACUUAGAAGAGCAUGAAGGAAAGGCGUCCAUUCCAAAAGGACUGGAAUAUAACAAGAGAAGGCUGAAGCAGGACAGGAGCUCAGCCGAGCUAAUGCCAAACCCGAAACUGCCUGUUCAGCAUCUGGAGCUCGUGAGGUCGCUGUCAACACAUGAGAGGGCUUGGCUGGUGCCCCUCCUGCUCUGCUGCCUCUGGUACGUGUGUCUCCUAGCCAGUGCACUUGGUGCUUAUAGCUUUCCUUGGUGAACAAACCAUGCUGUGGGCAUCUCCAAUAGCCCAGGGUCUCUCCUGCAACUUAAGGCCUCACCCACAGUCCACUCGUGAGCUCCUUACCAGGCCUGCUCCACAUUGUCCAGCCUCGGGAGUUUUCCAGAACCUUGACACAAGCUUCUCUCUUGUGUCUUGCAUGAUGCCUGUGAAGAAAGUACCAUAUGGUAGAAGCUUGAGAUGUAGCCUAGCCUCCUUAGGGCAUGACGGCAGUGGCCUGUGUGCAUUUUGUUGGCAGAACCUGGAAAUCCCUUUCUAAGAAGCCACUUUCCAAUAGGGUAGCCUGAAGGCUCUAUCUUUUCUAUUCUUUUUUUGAAUGAAUUCCCAUUUUAAGUCCUAAAACUCUGUUGACAGGGAGGGUCUUACCUUCAAGCACCUUACCUAUUGUCCCAGUACAAAGCAUGGUUUUCUCUUCAUUGUGUCAUCUCUUUAAGAGUCACGGGUGCUUCCUUUGUUCACACUACCUUGUCCAAAAACUUUAACUUCUCUUUAUUUGCCAAAUCACACACAUUUUCACACGCUUCUGCUCUGCUUUCUCUUUUGAAAUUUCGCUGCCAACCUCGCUAAAUGCACUGAACAAUAACACCACCAUAGCCUGAAUAUUUUGCUGUUUUAAAUUUUCUUUCACCAAACAAACCUCAAGCGAUAUCUGUUGUAAUUUUUAAAAAGCAGCUCAAGAGAGAGAGAUGUCAUGUGACGGAUUUCAAGUGGAGGGGUUGUUAUUAAGGGAAAGGGAUUGUAAAAAGGGGAAAGAAGGGGGGGGAGACCAGCCUCCACGGACAGGAGCAGCAGGAGAGAGGAGAGA